UGGCUCAGAUUGAACGCUAGCGGGAUGCCUUACACAUGCAAGUCGAACGGCAGCACGGACUUCGGUCUGGUGGCGAGUGGCGAACGGGUGAGUAAUGUAUCGGAACGUGCCUAGUAGCGGGGGAUAACUACGCGAAAGCGUAGCUAAUACCGCAUACGCCCUACGGGGGAAAGCAGGGGAUCGCAAGACCUUGCACUAUUAGAGCGGCCGAUAUCGGAUUAGCUAGUUGGUGGGGUAACGGCUCACCAAGGCGACGAUCCGUAGCUGGUUUGAGAGGACGACCAGCCACACUGGGACUGAGACACGGCCCAGACUCCUACGGGAGGCAGCAGUGGGGAAUUUUGGACAAUGGGGGAAACCCUGAUCCAGCCAUCCCGCGUGUGCGAUGAAGGCCUUCGGGUUGUAAAGCACUUUUGGCAGGAAAGAAACGUCAUGGGUUAAUACCCCGUGAAACUGACGGUACCUGCAGAAUAAGCACCGGCUAACUACGUGCCAGCAGCCGCGGUAAUACGUAGGGUGCAAGCGUUAAUCGGAAUUACUGGGCGUAAAGCGUGCGCAGGCGGUUCGGAAAGAAAGAUGUGAAAUCCCAGAGCUUAACUUUGGAACUGCAUUUUUAACUACCGAGCUAGAGUGUGUCAGAGGGAGGUGGAAUUCCGCGUGUAGCAGUGAAAUGCGUAGAUAUGCGGAGGAACCACCGAUGGCGAAGGCAGCCUCCUGGGAUAA
rnacentral:rRNA from 1 species